rnacentral:rRNA from 1 species
AUUGAACGCUGGCGGCAGGCUUAACACAUGCAAGUCGAGCGAGCGGCGGACGGGUGAGUAAUGUCUGGGAAACUGCCUGAUGGAGGGGGAUAACUACUGGAAACGGUAGCUAAUACCGCAUACCAUCAGAUGUGCCCAGAUGGGAUUAGCUCGUAGGUGGGGUAAUGGCUCACCUAGGCGACGAUCCCUAGCUGGUCUGAGAGGAUGACCAGCCAGACUGGAACUGAGACACGGUCCAGAAGCCUACGGGAUGCAGGAGUGGGGAAUAUUGCACAAUGGGCGCAAGCCGGAUGCAGCCAUGCCGCGUGUGUGAAGAAGGCCUUCGGGUUGUAAAGCACUUUCAGCGAGGAGGCGUGACUCGCAGAAGAAGCACCGGCUAACUCCGUGCCAGCAGCCGCGGUAAUUC